rnacentral:snRNA from 14 species
AAACUUACCUGGCUGGGGGACUCUCGCGAUCAUCAAGGCGGGAACCCCAUAGUGAAGCCCUCGCAUUGCACUUUGGCCUGGGCUGACCUGUGUGGCAGCUUCUCAUUGAGGUUAGCCAGCAGCUAAAUCUUUGUGUGUGGGGCUGCGUUCGCGCGGCCCCCUG